rnacentral:rRNA from 1 species
UACAGAGGGUGCAAGCGUUGUUCGGAAUUAUUGGGCGUAAAGCGCGUGUAGGCGGCUUUGCAAGUCGGGUGUGAAAUCCCCGGGCUCAACCUGGGAACUGCAUCCGAGACUGCAUUGCUAGAGUAUGGGAGAGGGAAGCGGAAUUUCUGGUGUAGCAGUGAAAUGCGUAGAUAUCAGAAGGAACAUCAGUGGCGAAGGCGGCUUCCUGGACCAAUACUGACGAUCAGGUGCGAAAGCGUGGGAGCAAACAGG